rnacentral:tRNA from 1 species
GGGAUUGUAGCUCAGUAGUAGAGCACUCACCUAGCAUGUGCGAGGCACUGGGUUCAAUCCUCAGCACCA